GUAGGGGAAUCUUCGGCAAUGGACGGAAGUCUGACCGAGCAACGCCGCGUGAGUGAAGAAGGUUUUUCGGAUCGUAAAGCUCUGUUUGUAAGAGAAGAACGAGUGUGAGAGUGGAAAGUUCACACUGUGACGGUAUCUUACCAGAAAGGGACGGCUAACUACGUGCCAGCAGCCGCGGUAAUACGUAGGUCCCGAGCGUUGUCCGGAUUUAUUGGGCGUAAAGCGAGCGCAGGCGGUUAGAUAAGUCUGAAGUUAAAGGCUGUGGCUUAACCAUAGUAGGCUUUGGAAACUGUUUAACUUGAGUGCAAGAGGGGAGAGUGGAAUUCCAUGUGUAGCGGUGAAAUGCGUAGAUAUAUGGAGGAACACCGGUGGCGAAAGCGGCUCUCUGGCUUGUAACUGACGCUGAGGCUCGAAAGCGUGGGGAGCAAACAGGAUUAGAUACCCUGGUAGUCCACGCUGUAAACGAUGAGUGCUAGGUGUUAGACCCUUUCCGGGGUUUAGUGCCGUAGCUAACGCAUUAAGCACUCCGCCUGGGGAGUACGAAACGCAAGGUUG
rnacentral:rRNA from 1 species